rnacentral:sRNA from 1 species
GUCGUUAGCUCAGUUGGUAGGGUCGCAGGUUCGAAUCCUGCACGACCCACCAAUCGUUCUGGUGGAACGCGAUAGUAAAACGUGAAGGAUAACGUUGCGUCAGCAACGGCCCGUAGGGCGAGGCGAAGCCGAGUCAUCCUGCACGACCCACCG